rnacentral:rRNA from 1 species
GACAGAGGGUGCAAACGUUGUUCGGAAUUACUGGGCGUAAAGCGCGUGUAGGCGGCCCUGCAAGUCGGGUGUGAAAUCCCAUGGCUCAACCAUGGAAGUGCACUCGAAACUGCAGGGCUAGAGUCCUGGAGAGGAAGGUGGAAUGCUUGGUGUAGAGGUGAAAUUCGUAGAUAUCAAGCGGAACACCGGUGGCGAAGGCGGCCUUCUGGACAGUGACUGACGCUGAGACGCGAAAGCGUGGGGAACAAACAGG